CUUAGCUGGGUCCUGUACUUAAGAGUCUCUCACUAGGCUGCCAUCACAGGGUUGGCCGGGGCUAUAGUUGCCUCAAGACUCCAGCGGGACCUGCUUCCAAGCUCACUCAUGAGGUCGUCGGCAAGAUUCUGUUCCUCACAGGCUGUUGUUCUGAGGGCCUUUCCGUUACUUGCCCUGUAAGCCUCUCCCGAGGGCAGCUCAGUGUGACAGCUUGCUUCAUCAGUGCAAGCAAGAGAGGAGUCAGUGCAGCAAGAUCAAGGUCACCAUCUUUAAUAAGUGAUCUCGGAAAUGCUACUUCAUCGCUUUGGCCUGUUGUUCUUUAGGAGCAAGUCAACAGGUCCAGCCCACACAGGAGCAGAGAGGAUUACAGGACGGCCUGAGUACCAGGAGCCGGACCGUCAUCGGGAAUCCUUUAGAAGCCAGCUACCAUGGCAAUAGAGCUCUUCAAGGGAACAGAAAAGUGUCUGACUCAUCUCUAUAUCCCAAGCACCUGGCCCACAUCCUGACAGCAUCCACCUGGACAGUGUAUUUAUCCUCUGGCACAAGAAGGAGUUAUCAGGACAUUAAACUUCUUCUCAAAGUCAUCUACCAAGCCAGCCUUUGCCACAUUGGCCUUACAGUAAGCCCAGUCAAUAGCAGGUGGUUUCUCAGGAAGAGUAGCCAACCUGGAGGUAAGUAUCUCAUUCCAGGAUUUCAGGGAGUUGGCAAUGGCCUUCUGGUUUCAGGGUAUGAUCUCCCCAAAAGCUACCCAGUCAAUGGUUUUUAGAGCAAGUUUUCACCCGGCCAUCUUGAGAUCCUUCACUGACCCCAGCAGCCCACAGUCCACAGCCUAUCAUCCAUUUUACAUGUGAGAAGAAAAAGCUCAGAAAGGUUAAGUAACUUGCCCAGAGUCACAGAGCUAGGAGGGGGUGGAGUUUGUAUCAGACCCAGGUCUGAGCUGACCAGAAAGUUCAGAUUUCUAUGAAGCAGGUAUUGCCCUUGGUUACAGAAUGGGUAAAAGAGGGAUUGAGGCCAAAGUGGGAUUGAGAAUGAGAGAGGUUUAUUGGGGAGUGACACCCACAGAUGGGCAAGAUGCAGUACAGACCAGACAAAAUCUCUGCCAGCCCAGCAUAGAGCUCUGAAGCAAAGACUGCCCAUUCAAGGGGGCCUGCAUUGGGCAGAGAUGGGUGGACCCUUGUACCACUACUUCAGCUCACCCAUCAGCUGGGGAGAGCAUGCCAUGAUCUCAGGUUGAAAACUGGUCUGGCCCCUCAAGGCUGUCAGUGAACUGCACUCCUUGCAUCGGGCAUUUAAGAUCUCCUUAAAUGGAGAUCUGAGCAGUGCAUCUCCUCAUCUGUCACAUGCUCUAAAAAUUGCCAGUGCUCCUUUCAUCCAAGAGAAGGGUGUGCAUGAGUUAUCUAUUGCUGUAUAACAAAUUGCCCCCAAAUGUAGAAGCUUAAAAUAGCAAGUAUUUGUUAUCUUACAGUUUCUGUGCAUCAGGAGUCCAGGCAUGGCUUAGGUGGGAGCCUCUGGCUGAAGGUCUAGUGUGAGGUUGUUGUCAAGCUGUAGUUGGGGUCACCAUCUCACCUGAAGGAUCAACUGGAAGGGUAAUAGGCUUCUGAGCUCACAUGCAUGUUUUUUGGCAGGCCAUGGGCCCCCAUCACUUUGGCCUCUCCACAGGACUACCUCAUGACAUAGCAGCUGACUUCCUCCAGGAUAAGCAGCCCAAGAGGCAGUGAGAAAGAGGACCCACAGUAGAAGUCAUGGCUUUCUAUAACCUCCUCUUGGAUGUGACAUCCCAUCAUUUCUACCACAUUCUGUUUUGUUAGAAUUGAGUUAGUAAGUCCAGGCCAUACUCAAGGAAGAUACAAGUACAAGAAUACCAGGAGUUGGGGAUCACUGGCAGCCCUUUCAGAGGCUGCCUCCCAUAGCAUAUUCAAAUAAAUAACACUAAUGGGGGAUGCCUGGCUGGCUCAGUUGAUGGAGCAUGGGACUUUGAUCUCAGGGUCUGAGUUCAAGCCCCAUGUUGGGUGUAGAGCUUACUUAAAAGAAAAAAAAAGCAAAAAACAAUAAUGACAAUAGUAAUAAGUUUACCCACCAUGUGUUGAACAUUUGCUAUGAAUUAGAGGUGGUACUAGGUCCUCACCAUAUCACCUCAUCCUUACUCCUUUAUUUUUAUUUAUUUGUUUGUUUGUUUAGAUUUUAUUUAUUUAUUCAUGAGAGACACAGAGAGAGGUAGAGAUAUAGGCAGAGGGAGAUGCUAGCUCUC